UACGUAGGGGGCAAGCGUUGUCCGGAAUCAUUGGGCGUAAAGAGCGUGUAGGCGGCUUGGUAAGUCCGCUGUGAAAGUCCAGGGCUCAACCCUGGAAAGCCGGUGGAAACUGUCGGGCUAGAGUUCGGAAGAGGUGAGUGGAAUUCCUGGUGUAGCGGUGAAAUGCGCAGAUAUCAGGAGGAACACCAAUGGCGAAGGCAGCUCACUGGGACGAUACUGACGCUGAGACGCGAAAGCGUGGGGAGCAAACAGG
rnacentral:rRNA from 1 species